rnacentral:lncRNA from 1 species
GAUUGGAAGUAAUAAAAUUUAUUUUGUCUAGAGUUUAUUGCUGGGAGAUUAGAUUUUUAGGAGUUAACUCCAUACAGAAGUGAAAACCUGUAAAUAAAUUUUUAAUUAUUGGCAUUGUCUUAAUGCUAAUUAAAUAAUCAGUAUGUUUUUAAAAACUUCCUUGAUAUUCUAAGUAAUACAGUACUUUGAAUUCAACAGGAUUGUCUUCAAGGAAAGUGGUGUUAAAUACAAAUGGCCUAUACUACAAUCUAGAGCUUCUGAACUUUGGACAGAUAUACCAAGCUUUUAAAAUCAACGUGGUAAGCAAGUGCUCAGCAGUCAAAGAAGAAAUAACCAGUAUCUAUAGACUUCAUAUUCCUUGGUCUUAUGAAGAUUCACUAACCAUUGCACAGUAAGUAUUUGAAAGAAUUUACUUUAAACUUUGGUGUUUUUGAAUAAUAGAUAUUCUGCUUAGUUUAUUUAUUUAAAUCAUGAAUUAUUAAAAUGCAUCAGUAAAAUGUAUGUAUCCUUUAUGUAGCAUUGUUCCUAUAAUUUAAUAUAUAGUAUUCUUAUGAAAUGAUAGAGAACUUAAACUUUACUUCCUUGGAACCUGAACCCCCUUCCACCCUCUCGCAACUCCUGUGUCCUAGAGGGAGCAUUCAAACAAUUGUGAUAUCAUUGAAAAAGUGCCCAUCCACAAUUAUGUGUCUGGCACCUAGCUUCCUCUACAUUAUUCAGUUGUAUUG